GGGCGUGUAACUCAGCGGUCAGAGUGCCUCGCUUACACCGAGGAAGUCGGGGGUUCAAAUCCCUCCACGCCCA
rnacentral:tRNA from 1 species